UACGUAGGUGGCAAGCGUUGUCCGGAAUUACUGGGUGUAAAGCGCGUGUAGGCGGGCGGCCAAGUCUGUGGUGAAAUCGCCUGGCUUAACUGGGCGGGGUCCAUGGAAACUGGUCACCUGGAGGUCGGUAGAGGCAAGUGGAAUUCCCGGUGUAGUGGUGAAAUGCGUAGAGAUCGGGAGGAACACCAGUGGCGAAGGCGGCUUGCUGGGCCGGACCUGACGCUGAGACGCGAAGGCGUGGGGAGCGAACGGG
rnacentral:rRNA from 1 species